CAGUCGCCACGGUAAUACGUAGGUCCCGAGCGUUGUCCGGAUUUAUUGGGCGUAAAGCGAGCGCAGGCGGUUUGAUAAGUCUGAAGUUAAAGGCUGUGGCUCAACCAUAGUUCGCUUUGGAAACUGUCAAACUUGAGUGCAGAAGGGGAGAGUGGAAUUCCAUGUGUAGCGGUGAAAUGCGUAGGUAUAUGGAGGAACACCGGUGGCGAAAGCGGCUCUCUGGUCUGUAACUGACGCUGAGGCUCGAAAGCGUGGGGAGCGAACAGGAUUAGAUACCCCGGUAGUCCCUGUCUCUUAUACA
rnacentral:rRNA from 1 species